rnacentral:rRNA from 1 species
GACUGAGUGGCGGACGGGUGAGUAACGCGUGGGUAACCUGCCUCACACAGGGGGAUAGCAGUUGGAAACGGCUGAUAAUACCGCAUAAGCGCACAGUACCGCAUGGUACAGUGUGAAAAACUCCGGUGGUGUGAGAUGGACCCGCGUUUGAUUAGCUAGUUGGUGGGGUAACGGCCUACCAAGGCGACGAUCAAUAGCCGACCUGAGAGGGUGACCGGCCACAUUGGGACUGAGACACGGCCCAAACUCC